UACGGGGGGGGCAAGCGUUGUUCGGAAUUACUGGGCGUAAAGGGCUCGUAGGCGGCCAACUAAGUCAUACGUGAAAUCCCUCGGCUUAACCGGGGAACUGCGUCUGAUACUGGAUGGCUUGAGUUCGGGAGAGGGAUGCGGAAUUCCCGGUGUAGUGGUGAAAUGCGUAGAGAUCGGGAGGAACACCUGUGGCGAAGGCGGCCACCUGGGCCGACCCUGACGCUGAGGCGCGAAGGCGUGGGGAGCGAACGGG
rnacentral:rRNA from 1 species